CUCAAAGUCACCCAGUGUCCCCAUGUAUCCCCAUGUCGCCCAGUGCCCCCAUGUCGCCCAGUGUCCCCCAGUGUUUGUAUUACCAUGUCUCCCAGUGUCCCCAUGUCACUAGGAUACUAGGGGCCACUGAGAGACAUUGGGAUACUGAGAUACUAGGGGCCACUGGGAGACAUGGGGCCACUGUGUCUGGACUCUGUGGCAGAGCU